rnacentral:tRNA from 1 species
UCCCUGGUGGUCCAGUGGUUAAGACUCUGCACUUCCACUGCAGAGAACUCGAGUUCAAUCCCUGAUGGGGAG